rnacentral:tRNA from 1 species
GCCUCCGUAGCUCAGUAGGAUAGAGCACUUUCACAGGUUUCCUAAACCUGGGGUCGCAGGUUCGAACCCUGCCGGGGGCGCCA